UACGUAGGCAGCAAGCGUUGUUCGGAGUUACUGGGCGUAAAGGGUGUGUAGGCGGUUAUUUAAGUUUGGUGUGAAAUCUCCCGGCUCAACCGGGAGGGUGCGCCGAAUACUGAAUGACUUGGAGUGCGGGAGAGGAAAGUGGAAUUCCUGGUGUAGCGGUGAAAUGCGUAGAUAUCGGCAGGAACACCCAGGGGGAAACCAGUCGACUGGGCAUCUACUGACGCUGAGGUGCGAGAGCGUGGGGAGCGAACCGG
rnacentral:rRNA from 1 species